rnacentral:rRNA from 1 species
UACCAGCACCCCGAGUGGUCGGGACGAUUAUUGGGCCUAAAGCAUCCGUAGCCGGCCUUACAAGUCCCCCGUUAAAUCCAACUGCUUAACAGAUGGGCUGCGGAGGAUACUAUAAGGCUAGGAGGCAGGAGAGGCAAGCGGUACUCAGUGGGUAGGGGUAAAAUCCGUUGAUCCACUGAAGACCACCAGUGGCGAAGGCGGUUACCUGGAGCUUUGCUGACGCUGAUGCGCGAAAGCGUGGGGAGCGAACAGG